UUGAACGCUGGCGGCAUGCCUUACACAUGCAAGUCGAACGGCAGCACGGGGCAACCUGGUGGCGAGUGGCGAACGGGUGAGUAAUAUAUCGGAACAUACCCUAGAGUGGGGGAUAACGUAGCGAAAGUUACGCUAAUACCGCAUACGAACUAAGGUUGAAAGUGGGGGAUGGCAAGACCUCAUGCUCAUGGAGUGGCCGAUAUCUGAUUAGCUAGUUGGUGAGGUAAAGGCUCACCAAGGCGACGAUCAGUAGCUGGUCUGAGAGGACGACCAGCCACACUGGAACUGAGACACGGUCCAGACUCCUACGGGAGGCAGCAGUGGGGAAUUUUGGACAAUGGGGGAAACCCUGAUCCAGCCAUUCCGCGUGAGUGAAGAAGGCCUUCGGGUUGUAAAGCUCUUUCAGCAGGAACGAAACGGUCGGCUUUAAUAAAGUCGGCUAAUGACGGUACCUGCAGAAGAAGCACCGGCUAACUACGU
rnacentral:rRNA from 1 species